rnacentral:rRNA from 1 species
AUUGAACGCUGGCGGCAGGCCUAACACAUGCAAGUCGAGCGGAUGAAGGGAGCUUGCUCCUGGAUUCAGCGGCGGACGGGUGAGUAAUGCCUAGGAAUCUGCCUGGUAGUGGGGGAUAACGUCCGGAAACGGGCGCUAAUACCGCAUACGUCCUGAGGGAGAAAGUGGGGGAUCUUCGGACCUCACGCUAUCAGAUGAGCCUAGGUCGGAUUAGCUAGUUGGUGGGGUAACGGCCUACCAAGGCGACGAUCCGUAACUGGUCUGAGGGGAUGAUCAGUCACACUGGAACUGAGACACGGUCCAGACUCCUACGGGAGGCAGCAGUGGGGAAUAUUGGACAAUGGGCGAAAGCCUGAUCCAGCCAUGCCGCGUGUGUGAAGAAGGUCUUCGGAUUGUAAAGCACUUUAAGUGGGGAGGAAGGGCAGUAAGUUAAUACCUUGCUGUUUUGACGUUACCAACAGAAUAAGCACCGGCUAACUUCGUG